GCCCGGUUAGCUCAGCCGGUAGAGCGUUGGACUUUUAAUCCAACGGUCAGAGG
rnacentral:tRNA from 1 species